UAUCGGAACGUAUCCAAUAAUGGGGGAUAACUAGCCGAAAGGUUGGCUAAUACCGCAUACGCCCUACGGGGGAAAGCAGGGGAUCUUCGGACCUUGCGUUAAUGGAGCGGCUGAUAUCUGAUUAGCUAGUAGGUGAGGUAAAGGCUCACCUAGGCGACGAUCAGUAGCUGGUCUGAGAGGACGACCAGCCACACUGGAACUGAGACGCGGUCCAGACUCCUACGGGAGGCAGCAGUGGGGAAUUUUGGACAAUGGGGGCAACCCUGAUCCAGCCAUUCCGCGUGAGUGAAGAAGGCCUUCGGGUUGUAAAGCUCUUUCGCAAGGGAAGAAACGAUACGGACGAAUAAUCCGUGUUAAUGACGGUACCUUGAUAAGAAGCACCGGCUAACUACGUGCCAGCAGCCGCGGUAAUACGUAGGGUGCGAGCGUUAAUCGGAAUUACUGGGCGUAAAGCGUGCGCAGGCGGUUUUGAAAGUCAGAUGUGAAAUCCCCGGGCUCAACCUGGGAACUGCGUUUGAAACUCCAAGUUUGAAGUAUGGGAGAGGGGGGGUAGAAUUCCACGUGUAGCAGUGAAAUGCGUAGAGAUGUGGAGGAAUACCAAUGGCGAAGGCAGCCCCCUGGCCUAAUACUGACGCUCAUGCACGAAAGCGUGGGGAGCAAACAGGAUUAGACACCCUGGUAGUCCACGCCCUAAACGAUGUCUACUAGUUGUUGGGAGAGUAAAAUCUCUUAGUAACGCAGCUAACGCGUGAAGUAGACCGCCUGGGGAGUACGGUCGCAAGAUUAAAACUCAAAGGAAU
rnacentral:rRNA from 1 species